rnacentral:rRNA from 1 species
GAUGAACGCUGGCGGCGUGCCUAAUACAUGCAAGUCGAGCGAACGGACGAGAAGCUGGCUUCUCUGAUGUUAGCGGCGGACGGGUGAGUAAUACGUGGAUAACCUACCUAGAAGACUGGGAUAACGUCAGGAAACCGGAGCUAAUACCGGAUAAUAGUGUGAAACGCAUGGUUCAAAAGUGAAAGACGGUCUUGAUGUCACUUAUAGAUGGAUCCGCGCUGCAUUAGCUAGUUGGUAAGGUAACGGCUUACCAAGGCAACGAUGCAUAGCCGACCUGAGAGGGUGAUCGGCCACACUGGAACUGAGACACGGCCCAGACUCCUACGGGAGGCAGCAGUAGGGAAUCUUCCGCAAUGGGCGCAAGCCUGACGGAGCAACGCCGCGUGAGUGAUGAAGGUCUUCGGAUCGUAAAACUCUGUUAUUCGGGAAGAACAUAUGUGUAAGUAACUGUGCACAUCUUGACGGUACCUAAUCAGAAAGCCACGGCUAACUACGUG